rnacentral:rRNA from 1 species
UACGAAGGGGGCUAGCGUUGCUCGGAAUCACUGGGCGUAAAGCGCACGUAGGCGGAUCUUUAAGUCAGGGGUGAAAUCCUGGAGCUCAACUCCAGAACUGCCUUUGAAACUAGAUAGCUAGAAUCUUGGAGAGGUCAGUGGAAUUCCGAGUGUAGAGGUGAAAUUCGUAGAUAUUCGGAAGAACACCAGUGGCGAAGGCGACUGACUGGACAAGUAUUGACGCUGAGGUGCGAAAGCGUGGGGAGCAAACAGG